rnacentral:tRNA from 1 species
GGAGGGUUGGCAGAACGGCUAUUGCACCAGUCUUGAAAACUGGCGCCCGCAAGGGCUUGGGGGUUCGAGUCCCUCACCCUCCGUCA